GCCAAGGUGUUCUUGGGAUAGCUGUUGAGGUUGAUCUUCAUGUUGUGUACGUGCACCUUCAUGUGGUGUUUGGUCACGCUUUUCUCGGGGUAAUUGUUGAGCACCAUAUGUUCUUGGUAGCAGGUAUGGUUGAUCUUCAUGUUGUUUGCGUGCACCUUCACGAGGUAUUUGGCCACGCUUUUCUCGGGAUGAUGCUUGUGAAAUAGGCGGCUGCUGAUUAUCAGCAUGCUGCCGAGGUUGCAAAGGAAAAUGAGGGUGGUAAGGUUGAUCUUCUUGAUGUAUAGGUAGCGGACCACCAAGUGGAAG
rnacentral:lncRNA from 1 species